ensembl:lncRNA
AAUUGCUGCUGUGAAGACACACAGAUUAAAAUCUGUGAGGCAUUUAGAUUUUAAUAGUAGUGAGGGUUCAGAAACCCAUGGAAAACUAAAACAAACAAAUGCAUCUCCUUUCAAAGAUGCAGUUGCCUGGUGUCUGUCACCAUGUCCUCCACUUUAAGGGUGGAAGACCUUCUAGUCUUGAAGCUAUGUCUUGACUUCUUUCUGCAACUAAGAAUGGCACUGAAGCCAUCAAGCAUGUUAUUUCCACAAGGAAUGCAGACUUCUACUCAAAGGGACAGCAGAUUAGCAGCUUUCCCACCAGUGCAAAACCGGAUAACCAACUCCUGUUCAGUGAAAGGUAGUCUAAUGGAUAGGAAGGAUAAGGAGACUUUGGCUUCAAUUCAUGAAACAUUUAUCAAGCCAAAUUCCUGAUUGGUUCCUACUCUGGAAGAAUUCUUGAAUAAAAGUGUCUGAUGGAUGUGCCAGCUCUCUCUAAUACAAUUACUAGAGCUAUAGAAAGAAAAUUGAUAACUCUAUGUUCAAUGCUUUAUCUGCAGAGUCUACAGUAAAUAAUUUAUGUGACAAACAUUAAGUAAUGACAGUAGAGCAAAAUGUAAAAUAACUCUUAUUUUAUAACUAGAGUCAUGAUUCUGUGCAUGGAAUGGGGGGCUAGGGAAGGUCUUCUGGGGAAGGAGUAAGUAAACAGCAAUUAAAGACUGUAUUAUAAUGCAUAUACACUAGGGGAUUAAAAAAAAAAAAGAGUUUUGCAGGCAUACAUAUUUUGAACAUCUCCUAGCUCUCUGGGAGCCUGACUUCCUUUCAGACUAAUUAACAAAUGUUAUAAUCUGCUGACUUUCCAGUGUGAUUUGUAUUUCUGCUGUAUAUCAAGGGUACAAAUAAAGGAAAUCCUGUACCUAUUUCUGUUAAUAUUACAAUUUUAGAAGUUUUAAGCAAAGAUAAAUAAAUAUCAACUACUUGUGCUUUUGAGUAUCCUGUGAUACCACCAUAAAAUAGAUGUAAUUGUGCAGUGGGAAGCGACCUACAAAAAACUGAGUCCAACUGCCUGACCACUUCAGAGUUCAUCAAAAUUUACAGCAUAUUACCAAGGAUAAUGUCCAAAUGCCUCUUGAACACUGACAGACAUGGUUCAUUGACCACCUCUCUAGGAAACUUUUUCCAAUAUUUGACCACAUUAAGUAAGGAGUUUUUUCUUAAUGUCCAGACUGACCUUCCCCAUGUACUUUUGUGCGGUUCCCAUUCUGCUAUUUGUGAUGAGGAGCGGAACCCUGCAGUUCCCUCUGUUUCCCUUCCUCAAGAGGACAGUGAGGUCACCUCUCAACCUUCUCCAGACUGGAUAACCCCAAGACCCUCAGCCUCUUCCAAAGGACAAACCAUCAGCCCUAAUACCAGGUUUGCUGCCUUCCUCCUGAACAUCCUUUUUAUAUCAAGAAGCUUGAAUCUGCCAAGACUUGAACUGUGCUCUUGAAGUCUCUUUCCUUCUUAUAGUACACUGUAAUAGUAACAGUUAGUGUCUUGACUUAGGUUAUGAUAAAGUAUCUGGAAAUUAUAUUGUGAACCAUGGAGUGGACAGGCAUGUGGGUGAAAUGUACUAUGGGCCCUUUGAAUCAGGCAUACAUUGAUUGUGAUUACAGGUUGGGCGUCGUUAAUGACUCUUAUGCCCUCACCAGUGAUCUGUUCUCUUUUAUUCAUCAGUGGUGGAAUAAAAUGCUUCCAAUUGAAU